GACAGCAGCCGCCGCGGUAAGACAGAGGAUACAAGCGUUAUCCGGAAUGAUUGGGCGUAAAGGGCUCGCAGGCGGUUUCUUAAGUCUGAUGUGAAAGCCCCCGGCUCAACCGGGGAGGGUCAUUGGAAACUGGGAAACUUGAGUGCAGAAGAGGAGAGUGAAUUCCACGUGUAGCGGUGAAAUGCGUAGAGAUGUGGAGGAACACCAGUGGCGAAGGCGACUCUCUGGUCUGUAACUGACGCUGAGGAGCGAAAGCGUGGGGAGCGAACAGGAUUAGAUACCCCGGUAGUCCCUGUCUCUUAUACC
rnacentral:rRNA from 1 species